rnacentral:rRNA from 1 species
GAUUCUGGCUCAGGAUGAACGCUGGCGGCGUGCCUAACACAUGCAAGUCGAACGGAGAUAUCAGAGAAGCUUGCUUCACUGAUAUCUUAGUGGCGGACGGGUGAGUAACGCGUGGGUAACCUACCCUGUACAGGGGGAUAGCAGCUGGAAACGGCUGAUAAAACCGCAUAAAACGGCAGUACCGCAUGGUACAACCGUCAAAUAUUUAUAGGUACAGGAUGGGCCCGCGUCUGAUUAGCCAGUUGGUGGGGUAACGGCCUACCAAAGCAACGAUCAGUAGCCGGCCUGAGAGGGUGAACGGCCACAUUGGGACUGAGACACGGCCCAAACUCCUACGGGAGGCAGCAGUGGGGAAUAUUGGACAAUGGGGGGAACCCUGAUCCAGCGAACCGCCGCGUGAGUGAAGAAGUAUUUCGGUAUGUAAAGCUCUAUCAGCAGGGAAGAUGAUGACGGUACCUGACUAAGAAGCACCGGCUAAAUACGUGCCAGCCGCCGC